AAGGCUUUAAGUUAAAUAAAACUAAUAGCCUUCAAAGCUAUAAAUAAAAUAAAAUUUUUAAGCCUUA
rnacentral:tRNA from 1 species